rnacentral:tRNA from 1 species
GUCCCCGUAGCUCAGCCGGAUAGAGCAACGGAUUCCUAAUCCGUAGGCCGGAGGUUCAAAUCCUCUCGGGGACGCCA